rnacentral:rRNA from 1 species
UACAGAGGGGGCGAGCGUUGUUCGGAAUUACUGGGCGUAAAGGGCGCGUAGGCGGCCCUCUAAGUCGAACGUGAAAUCCCCGGGCUCAACCCGGGAACUGCGUCCGAUACUGGAGGGCUCGAAUCCGGGAGAGGGAUGUGGAAUUCCAGGUGUAGCGGUGAAAUGCGUAGAUAUCGUUUGGAACGCCAAAGGUGAAAACAGGUGACUGGAGAUAUGCUGACACUGAGACACGAAAGCCAGGGGAGCAAACGGG